AGAUAAAAAGUCAGCAGUAUACUGUAUAUCACAUAGAAGUGGUGUACAUCAUCUGAAAGAUGGGAACCUGAAGAUUAAUUUGAGAUGCAGCUCAGCACUGUGUGGCAAGAUCUUCUAGUCAUAAAUCAGAACUAAACAUGAAGUUAAAAGUAUAUAA